rnacentral:rRNA from 1 species
GCCCAUGAUCAUAUCACCCGCAAUGCCCCCGAUCUCACUAGAUCUCGGAAGCUAAGUAGGCUUGAGCCUGGACUAGAACUUCGAUGGGUGACUACCUUGCACAAAACAGGUGUCGUAGGCU